GGGGUACUCCAGGGGAGGGUAGGCCACGGGGGGUGCCCACACCGGCAGCCAUACCUCCAGUAAUGUGUUGAAAUUGCUCCCUUAGUUGCCGGCCACCAUCCAGCGCAGCAGCAGCCCUGAGGGAUGCCAGGAUCACCUCAACCUCCAUCCCUCAAGCCGUGUCAAUCUGCAGGCCCAGGCAAACAGGAGCAGGAGGACAGGAAGCUGUUUGCUGGCC
rnacentral:lncRNA from 1 species